rnacentral:rRNA from 1 species
CAAUAGCGUAUAUUAAAGUUGUUGCGGUUAAAAAGCUCGUAGUUGGAUUUCUGCUGAGGACGAUCGGUCCGCCCUCUGGGUGAGUAUCUGGCUCGGCCUUGGCAUCUUCUUGGAGAACGUUACUGCACUUGACUGUGUGGUGCGGUAUCCAGGACUUUUACUUUGAGGAAAUUAGAGUGUUUCAAGCAGGCGCACGCCUUGAAUACAUUAGCAUGGAAUAAUAAGAUAGGACCUUGGUUCUAUUUUGUUGGUUUCUAGAGCUGAGGUAAUGAUUAAUAGGGAUAGUUGGGGGCAUUCGUAUUUAACUGUCAGAGGUGAAAUUCUUAGAUUUGUUAAAGACGGACUACUGCGAAAGCAUUUGCCAAGGAUGUUUUCAUUGA